rnacentral:rRNA from 1 species
CGUAGGGGGCGAGCGUUGUCCGGAUUUAUUGGGCGUAAAGAGCUCGUAGGCGGUUCGAUAAGUCGGAUGUGAAAUCUCCACGCUCAACCUGGAGGGGUCAUUCGAUACUGCCGUGACUAGAGUUCGGUAGGGGAGUGUGGAAUUCCUGGUGGAGCGGUGAAAUGCGCAGAUAUCAGGAGGAACACCCGUAGCGAAGGCGGCACUCUGGGCCGAUACUGACACUGAGGAGCGAAAGCGUGGGGAGCGAACAGG